AGAAAAAGAAGAAAAAAAAUAUUUGAUAUGAAAUAUUGAGGAUAUAUUUAUCAAUAUGUGUGAGACAGUGAUUCGAUCCCACGAGUCAUGACAUUUUCAAACAUGACUGUAUUCAGUCUGGUUCAGCGGUUUGGUCUGAGCGAGAGGUCGCCUGAGGGCAUACAAGAAGAAAAGAAAAGAAAAAACAGUAUAAUAUUAAUUUGACUGGGGUGGAGUCAGGAGCUGAGUCGGAUACAGAUUGCAAGUCAAGUGCAAAUAAAGAGUCUGUUAGUUACAGAAUCAAAAAGAAAGAAAUAUAUAUAAUUGAACAUAAAGAUCGCCAAGCAAAGUUUAGCAGUACCUUAAUCUAAUACAGCCAUCUUACACUACCAUGGUGGGGCGAAAUUCAAUGUCAGUAAUAAGGGAAAUUAUUUUAUCUUGGUUUUUCUUCUCUUCUCUUCUUUCAUGUGUGUCUUCUACACUGAUUCCAUUGUGAACGAUGAGUCAACAAGAUCCGGAUCAUCUAAGUAUUGUUAUUGUGAACAGUGAAUAAACAUGAUAUACUAUUUGCACUUUUUAAGUUUUAUCGCCUCCUUUUAUCCUCCUAAUUUCCAUUUAUUAUUUUGAUCGAUCAAUACUUUAUUGUAAUUCUUUUUCAUUCGCUCUAUUUAUUUUUGUUUUGUAGUUCUCUUAUAGUCCCAGAUUAACUUUUGAUUCCACAAAUCUGUGUUUUACAGGUAAACGAUGAUGAAGAGCUAAAGGGUCAAUAACUCAAUAUCUUUUGCUCGACAACAUGAGGAUAUAUCGUUACUUCAGGAUAUUUUUGUUUUAUAAUUUGGAUGAUUUUUGUAUUGCAGAUACCAUUUGUACCAAGCUGAAGACCAAAAACAUUGACGGUUUUUAAUAUCUUUGAUUCAUCUAAAUCUUCUCAAUAUGUACCUAUUUUUGAUUCUCUUGUUUUUUUUCAAUCCUACUACUUUUCAGUGCUGCUACUUGCGAAAAUGGUAUAAUAUAUAGGUGAAGACUUUAUUUUUCUUAUCAUGGCAGAAACUGAAUGCAAGUACCUGUUGGUUCUGCUUAUUUGAAUCUCGCCCAUUGAUUUUUAAUAUCCUAAUUUUUCUGCAGCAAUCCACAGAAGAUGAUAACCAAAGGAAGUGCAAGACAUGUACCUUUUGACGCAAAUGGAAAAAUUUCUCUACAUCUUGAUUAUAUCUCAUAAUCUCCUUUUAAUGCAGUCAAAUAGGUAUAUCUGAUUUUGCAACAGUUAUCUUUAUCAUUGUAAUGAAUGAGGGAGAUGUUAAUGUGUUGAUAAUGCACAAAAGAUGACUUUGCAUUGGGAUAUUAGUUUGAGGACCUAUGGAUAAAUGAACCCUGACCCUUUUAUUGCUCCAAUUAUGUUCUAUUGAUUUUUGUGUCCCAAUUCUAAUUUCAGUGGAAAGGUUAGCUUACUAUGUCUAUAUUCCAUUUUUCGGUUAAUGUAAUUAUUGCUGGAUUGAGAAUUGUAUUUGGUUUUUGUCUGGAAUAUCGAGUUUUCGUGCCCCUGCAUCUCAAAGUCUCAGACUCUUGCAAAACUAACAAACGCGCCCAGUUGCAAUCAGUUGUUUAGUAGCGUGAUGAUCACUGUAACCAGAAUACAUGUCUUGCAUUUCUAUCUUAAUGGGCCUUGAGAUAAUUUCCAAUUUGUAGAUACCCGAAUGCAUAAUGGAGACUCGAGUAUCUUCCUGAUGAAACAAUUAGGUGAAGAAGAAUACAAAGAAGAUGGGCAGCAUUACAUGAUGGAGAUAUGUUAGCAGUACUGAAGAUGAUGAGGAUGCCCACCCCAAACAAUCGAAAACUGUUCCGAUCUCAAAGUAUUUGCUUUGGAUAGAAGAAUUAAAUACUAGAUGGAAAGGAAGAUCUAAUCAGUUCCAUCUGUUGGUAGGCUCAUAUUCUGGCUGAUGGAGUUCAAGCUCUUGCUACGGGCCCAUUUAAUGGCUUCAAAAACUGCUAGACUCUCCGCCUCUUCUGCAUUCCUUGCUAUGCCUCUGACUGCUUUGCACCCCUUGUAAUGCCCUGAACCUGUAGUCGUGUAAAUACCAAUUCCAAUAUUAUUAGUAUUUUUAUCGAAAGAUGCAUCACAAUGUGAUAAUACAGUCGCUUGGAAGAGGAUGAGUAUUCACUGGAUUGGAGAUACUAGUCAACUGAUUAUUCACAGAACUAUCAGAGGUAAUAACUAUCUGGGUAUUAUCCAAAGCCAACGAAUUAAAGGUAUCAUUUCUGGGAAGAUUUAUUUGCUUAGAUUUGGGACAACCAAUCUAAGCCCUGCAGAGCACAGGCGCAACAGUUAGUUUAAAGAGUUAAUAUGUGAAGCACUGAAGGUCAAUACAACAGGAUUUUGAUAUCUAAAAAACUUUGGGUUUC